GUCAUGGUUGGUGGUACAGUUUUUCCUGCUUCCCACCAAAACCUCUUCCUGUGAUUAAAGUGUUUAAACCGACUGGAAUCUUUUGGGGGAUCCCAGUUGAACCUUGGGGAGCACGAGUGAGUGACCUGCUGACCUGAGAUGCGCAUGAGAUGCAUUCAGGGACACUCCAAAAGCUUUUCUCCAUUCGCGUGAGUAUGACUCCACUCCUACUUAACAUCCCCACCUGAUCCCCAUCAGGGGCGACUCUGGCUGCGAGGUAGUGCGGUCGUCUUUCAACCAGAAGGUUGUGGAUUCGAUCCCAGCCCUAGCAGUCAACAUGUGGAUGUAUCCUUGGGCAAGAUACCUAACCUAAUUGGUCCAGCAGUGGCUCAGUCAGUAGGGGCUUGGACUGGGAAUCGUAGGGUCGCCGGUUCAAGCCCCGAACAGACUUGAAAUAUGGAAAGUGGACUGCUACUUGGAGAGGUCCCAGUUCACCUCCAAGGCCCUGCAGUAGUGCCCUUGAGCAAGGCACUGGACACCUCGAA